rnacentral:rRNA from 1 species
UACAUGGGGUGCAAACGUUGCUCGGAAUUAUUGGGCGUAAAGCGCACGUAGGCGGCUUUGUAAGUUAGAGGUGAAAGCCCGGGGCUCAACUCCGGAACUGCCUUUAAGACUGCAUCGCUUGAAUCCAGGAGAGGUGAGUGGAAUUCCGAGUGUAGAGGUGAAAUUCGUAGAUAUUCGGAAGAACACCAGUGGCGAAGGCGGCUCACUGGACUGGUAUUGACGCUGAGGUGGCGAAAGCGUGGGGAGCAAACAGGG